UCAUCCUCUCUCUCUCUCUCUGACCAUGAACAUGAAUCAAAAGAACACUCUCUCUCUCUGACCAUGAACAUGAAUCAAAAGAACAACCACAAAUAUAAUGGUUUCUUCGGAACCUUCUCUUCUACUUCCAUAGAAAACUUCUUCCAAUUUCAUCCCUCCGUAAACCCAUUUCUUCAAACCCAAAAUCCAAUCGUGAAACCCUAAAACCCCAUUAAUCACUACGACAAAUUUUUUACUUUGCGACGCCAGACCUUGGACGGUUCGCUCAAAACUAUCAUUGUUCUUUGUUUGCAACGUUUUAUUCAUCUCCAUCAUCAAUAACUCAAUUUAAGAAUAUUCAAACGAGGAUGAAGAUGACAUUGAUGAUAUGCUGCAAAAGGGUAUUAUAAAUGAUCAUGAAUCUAUUGUUAAGGCAAUUAAAUAAGUUGAUAUUGUGAUAUGUGCUGCUGGUAGACUACUAAUUGAGGACCAGGUCAAGAUUAUUAAAGCAAUUAAAGAAGCUGGAAACAUUAAGAUGCACCAAGAAUGAGCAAAAUAUCAAAGAAACAAGGCAACUACCAUCAAAAAGUGGCGCUAGCCACCUUGUGUAAGGCGUUGGCCUUGAAAAGGCACAAGCCGCACAACACAAGGCGCUGGCCUUGAGUUAUAAGGUGCUGGCCAUGAGUCACAAGGCGCCAGCUUGGCACAUUUACACUAAGUCAGCCACUAAGCAAGUGGCGCCAGCCACUAAGCAACAAGGUACCAGUCACAACAAAAAAGGCGCUGGCCGUUCCUAUUUUUUAGAGAGAGAUUCGUCACGAUCAUCCAUUCCUACUCUUACGCCACACGAUUCUCAACUGAAUCCCGAAUGAAUUGGAGGAAAAGCUGUUGCAAACGUUCGCCUAUAAAUAAGAGAGUCUAACUCUGUUUUAAAGGACGCCAUAUAUUUUACAGAGUUCAGAGCAAAUUAAUUUUUAGAUUUUAAGUGUUUAAGCAUUCAAAGCAUUUGAGGUGUAAUUUCCAGUUUCAAUUCCUGUUCCAGUACUUGUGUUA